rnacentral:lncRNA from 1 species
GCAUUAGGGCACUUUGCCUUGCCAGGCCGGAGCCAGAUCGCAGGCGGGGAGUGCGCGACGCCCCUUCCCAGCCUCGAAAAAGCCAAGCGCAGGCCCAGCCAGCCAGAGAGACCCGGGUACCGAUUCCCAGGCUUGGGGGGGGCCCCCCUGCCACCACUCCGGGCUGGACCAAAUGACCCAAAAGACACACGCAUGCACACACACACACAUCACGGUGGACUUGUGGGGAGCGCAAAAGGGGACAGCUCAGAUGGUCUCUGUACCCCAGGGCCGCCCCCCAAGUUCUUCCUCGGGGGUCCCCCGCGCCCCUCCCUCGCCACAACACGCCACUAGAGAACAAACCCUUGCCCCGGUCACAGACCCCGGGCGGAAUACGCCCCCAGCUCCGGAGGGACACAAGCAGGUCCGGGGGCCAAGACCUGGUUCUUGCGCCCCGGCUGGCGGGGAUCUCCGAGCUCCCGGCCCCCGGGCGCGCGCCCCUCCCCCGCCCGGCGCCUCACAAAGGCCCUUUGUCCCGCCGAGCCCCCGGGACUCCAGUUCCUGAAAAGUUCCAGGAGAAAAAUCAAAGAGAGAGCAAAAUCGGCGAGCUCCGCCGAGCGGGCGGGGCAAGGCCGAGGUGGCAGCUCCUGAGAGACCCCAAGGAAGAGGGGAGCAUCGAGGGCUACUCUGGAAAUUGCAAAAAUCCGAAACUGCAAUUCGAACAGGAGGUUCGGGACCGCGAUGGUCCGGUUUCGGUGUCCCUGCCGCACCUCCGCACCCUCUUUCGCGCUGGAAAACAAGGGGUCCCCGAGGGCCGGGGUCGCCGCCCUCCUACCGGGGUGCAGGUUCCCAGGGCCGCCGUUCUCCCGGGGAAGAAAGGGGCAUCCCGCCCGCCCCGAGGCCAGGGUCCCAAGGCUGGGGUCACCGUACUCCCGCAUCCCCCGGCGUACUCCCGCAUCCCCCGGCGCUCGGUAACUGCCAGGGACCCGGCUCGGCGCGAGUGGUGGAGCUGGGAACAGAACCCAGGAGGGCCCACGAGCGCCAAAAGUAGCGUUUGCCAAGAAAAAGAUUCGAGCUCGGGGAGCGGGUGUCUCGCGGGGUGCGGGGGCCGGUUUGUUCUUUUCUCGCCCAGAUUUUGAAAACUCCAGCCCAGGCUCGUG